rnacentral:rRNA from 1 species
GUACACUCCUACGGGAGGCAGCAGUGGGGAAUAUUGGACAAUGGGCGCAAGCCUGAUCCAGCCAUGCCGCGUGAGUGAUGAAGGCCCUAGGGUUGUAAAGCUCUUUCACCGGUGAAGAUAAUGACGGUAACCGGAGAAGAAGCCCCGGCUAACUUCGUGCCAGCAGCCGCGGUAAUACGAAGGGGGCUAGCGUUGUUCGGAUUUACUGGGCGUAAAGCGCACGUAGGCGGGCUAUUAAGUCAGGGGUGAAAUCCCGGGGCUCAACCCCGGAACUGCCUUUGAUACUGGUAGUCUUGAGUUCGAGAGAGGUGAGUGGAAUUCCGAGUGUAGAGGUGAAAUUCGUAGAUAUUCGGAGGAACACCAGUGGCGAAGGCGGCUCACUGGCUCGAUACUGACGCUGAGGUGCGAAAGCGUGGGGAGCAAACAGGAUUAGAUACCCGAGUAGUCCCAUG